CCAAAAGGUUUUAUAUGAAGUGGCGUUCACAGAAAAGUUAAAAAAUAGCGACCUCCAGUGGUUACAAGUUGCGUACAAAUAAUGAUUGACAUCAUACUCUUUGUUAAUAUACAAUGUCUAUGGAAUAUCUUCAACUAUUCAAUAAAAAACUAAAGCACUGACAUACUUGUUAUUUCCGAUGAGUUCAUUUGCAAAAGAAAACCAAUAACCUUAAUCCAUUGUUGAACAUCCAAUUCAAUAUCCAAUUUCAUAUCAAAUUGAAGUCGCUUUGAUUGUUUUAUAAUAUUUCUUGAUUGUAAUACUAGUGUGAAGUUACGUUAUUUUUCCUUUUUUCAAAUGAACUCUUCACAUAACUGCUUUACACUUUACAAAAUAUACAAUGUGCCAGAAUUGCUUUUUUCAGAAAUUCGGAAAAUAUUCAGCAUUAGCAUAUUUCCUCGAACUCAUUUCCAUUUCAUCUGAGGUAAUUUAACAAGUGCCGAACAAAAAGAUAGAAAAAUGGAAAAGAAAUAUAGUUACCCAUUAAGUUUCAAAAAUUCUACAAUUAUUUCCUUACCCAUUAAGUUUCAAAAAUUCUACAAUCAUUUCCUAAUGGAUAAAGGAAGUUAUUCAAGCUGGAUUGAUGAUAGAAGUUAUCAUUUAAUCAAAUACUAAUACAAAAAAACAUCAUGAUGUCCUGUGUCAGUCUUUACUUGGCGGUUUAUGUACAUAAGCACUGAAACAGAAGGCAGCAAACUGGAAGCUCUUCUCCCCGGGAGGUGAUCAAGGGAAGGGCCACGUGCACACGCCCGGGUGCAUGUUCAUGCACUAGCAUGCAUGCGCAUACAAACACACACACACACACACACACACACACACACACACACACACACACACACACACACACACACACACACACACACAUGCCCACACGAUAUACACGCGCACACUCACACAUGCACAUUCUAAUGUUAAAAACAAUAUGCCUGGAUCUUUUAAGUCAUUUUUAAUGUUGAGGUUAUUUUUUUGUAACGUUGAUGAUACUCAACACGUUAGAUGAGGUCAUUAAUACUGUGCAAUUAUCAAGUUUGAUUAUUUUCAAAAUUGGCAACAAAUAAUAAAAAGAUGUUUGUCCACGUGCAUAAUUAUUAUAGCUCCGCCCCCUCCCUUGUUCUUCUCCCUCUCGCUGACCGCUACACUGCAUUCUGGAGUAAAACUACUAUAGAAAACAGUCUGGACUCAAGGCGCUUAACAUUAGACAUACCUGAAGAGAGAGAGAGAGAGAGAGAGAGAGAAUGAGAGAGAGAGAGAGAGAGAGAGAGAGAGAGAGAGAGAGAGAGAGAGAGAGAGAGAGAGAGAGAGGAGCAUUGCAAGGGGGGAUCUCUGGCAGAUCAGUGGCAUUUUUCUUUUUUCAGAAAACCAAUAUAUAUAUGAUACUUACGUACAAAUAUAUCUGUCAAUCUACAAUACAUGGAUCUCUGGAACCAUAAUCAUCUCUUAAAUAAACUAUAUAUGUCAUUGCACGUUUUUGUUAAAAUAAUUGAUUAAACGAUUUCUCUGAAAGGCAAUAGUGUGAUUUCUCUUAUAAAGGUGAAAAAGAUAUUGUACCAUCGGCCGAUUUAGAAUAAUAGUAAAAAAUAAGAAGAUCUGUAAUAUACACAUCUGUAAAAGACCCUCACCUCUCCAUAUACAUGAUGCCUGGAAGCCGGGGGCGUGUCUCUGACAGGCCACGCCCCUCACAUCUGUGCACAUGCUCAUGCAUGUUUGUAGGCCGGUGUGUAUGCCAUCUCUGUCUCUAUAUGCAUACAUAUAUACACGUUAUUAUAAAAUAAAUAAAUAGAGGAAACAUUCUUGGUUUGGCGACGUCUCAAGCGGUUGUGCUACAGUCUCUGAUCGCCACGGCGACCUGCUGGGAGGGGGGGGCUGUAGAGGGUCCGGCUGCCUGUGUGUGUGUGACGUAUGUGUGCAUGUGCGUCAGUCUGUGUGUGUGCGUUAUUGUGUGUGCGUAUGCGUGUGUGUGUGUGUGACGUAUGUGUGCGUCGUCCAGUGUGACGACCGGGGGCCGCGCCCCGUGCCGGCCGCCCGCCUCCAGGACGAGGCCCCGCCCCCCUCUGGUCAAUGGAUGAGGCCCCGCCCCUCUGGGUGAGGCCCCGCCCCUCUUGGUCGGGUCCGUGAUGUGGUCCGUGCCCCC
ensembl:lncRNA